UACGAAGGGUGCAAGCGUUAAUCGGAAUUACUGGGCGUAAAGCGCGCGUAGGUGGUUUGUUAAGUUGGAUGUGAAAGCCCCGGGCUCAACCUGGGAACUGCAUCCAAAACUGGCAAGCUAGAGUAUGGCAGAGGGUGGUGGAAUUUCCUGUGUAGCGGUGAAAUGCGUAGAUAUAGGAAGGAACACCAGUGGCGAAGGCGACCACAUGGGCUAAUAAUGAAACUGAGGUGAGAAAGCGUGGGGAGAACACAGGCUUCGAUACCAGCGUAGUCC
rnacentral:rRNA from 1 species